rfam:Corchorus capsularis cultivar CVL-1 contig06274, whole genome shotgun sequence.
AUGGCAUGUUGAGGACAAUCGGCACAAAGUUUCUUGAAUCUCUCCCAAGCUAGGUAAAAAUUCUCCUCUUUGCGUUGUCAAAAGGUUGCAAUCUUUUGUCUCCCUUU